rnacentral:rRNA from 1 species
AUGAAGAUUUUUUUUGCUACAACCAUGUACCACAGAAGCUUCAACCAUGUGUGCCAGAGCUGCAAGCCAUGUACACCAGAGCUACAACCGGAGACGCUCGUCGCCAGUGAGGCUGCAAAUGGCACGGGCAAUGCCACAACCGAUGUCCAGCGAGCUGUAAGCGACACAACGGCAAGCUUCAAACCUGGUGGAUCACCAUGCCGGCGAGGGGAGCUGCAACCAUGGUGGCGAGUUGCUGGAACCGCCUUUCACUUUUGCUACGACCGACCAAAUUUUUUGCUACGCUGCGGCGACGAAGAUCUUUUUUUGCUGGAACAUAGUGCUGCAAAAUAG